GGGGGGGGGGGGGGAGACAGAGAGCUGCUAUCUUAAAAAGUGAAUCCAAAGAAGCCAAGAGAGAAAACUGGAGGGGAAGAAGGGAGAGGGGGGAGAAAAGGCAGAAAAGGCAAAAGAAGUUUCCAAAGAAAUGUGUGCUUUCCCUCCUACAAUAGGAAAAUGUAGCCAUGGCUCUUCUUUAGACUAGACAUUUCUAAUUUGUUCCGUCUGUCAGAAGGGGACUAUGAGAGGUUUUGGUGCAAAUUCAUUAUCUCUGGCAACGCAUAACGUAUAGUAGGAACUGAAAAAGACCGUGGCAAUGGAUGAACAAUAGGGCUUCAGUUCAUCAGCAACAAAAGCAUUGGGGAAAUUGGUUGAAUUUCAGAGCACGUCCUCCUCAGCAGAGAGGGCUGGACUAGACCUUGGCCAACCCCCCCAAAAAACUUGCAGAGCCUCACAUACAACACUUCACUCUCUACUCUGGGGCUUAGGGAGCAAAUAUCUGACAAGGGGGGGAAAAAGUUGUGUUUUUUCUGCUGCUUCUUUUUCGCCCCCUCCCCCACUCCGAGAUGGAAUCAGCUCUAUUUAAACUAUUUUAGACUCAAUCAAGCAAGAAUAAUACUAUGGAAUUUAGCGGCAGUUUUAAACAGUGGCGAAGAGAGAGACGUUCUGAAUUUUUGGAGACAAGAAAGACAUCUGCAUUCUGUGCUUCAGUGGGGGGCUUGACUAUGGGAUCUUUUCCUCCUGCCGGAGACUUGAAUCGCUACUCGCUAGAUUUGAGGGCAAAUUGAUCUUGCAAAGGAAGAAAACAUAUGACACUACAAUGAAGCAUAAAAUGAAUAGACAAACAGCACAAGCAAAGAGCAGAAGAUGGCCAGUGACUUAUCUUCUAGAGAAAAAUGACAGAAAUGAGUAUUUGGAAUUAUUCCUGGAAUUAGACCAGCAUGAGGUCCCCUCUGCCAAUCUAAGAUUUACAAAUGGAAUUAUUUGUAAAAAGAAGAAAAUUCAAAUUAAGAAACAUAAAAAAGGAAUGGAAUACAAAAUAAACACUGAGCUUCAUAAAAGGUCAAUGAAGGACAAUCACAAGAAAUAGCUUCAUAUCUAAAAUCAGAUUAGAAAAAAGAAGAAGAAAUAAGAAGAAAAAAUCUGAAGAGGGAAAAUUUGAAGAUUAUGAAGGCAAAGAAAAUCUACACAAACUCCAGAAGUAUUAGCUAAUGAUGAAAUGGUUGACAAAAGUAAUGCGGAUAUCCCAAAUGAUUUUGUAAAGGAAAGAAGCAAUUCAUAAAAUGGACUUUCAAAAAUCCCUCUUUAAAUAUGAUGACAACUAUACCAAAAUAAAGUAAUUCAAAGCAGUUACUAACCA
rnacentral:lncRNA from 1 species